rnacentral:rRNA from 1 species
GACGAACGCUGGCGGCGUGCUUAACACAUGCAAGUCGAGCGGUAAGGCCCUUUCGGGGGUACACGAGCGGCGAACGGGUGAGUAACACGUGGGUGACCUGCCCUCAGCUCUGGGAUAAGCCUGGGAAACUGGGUCUAAUACUGGAUAUGACUCCACGGUGCAUGUCGUGGGGUGGAAAGUCCUUGUGCGGCUGAGGAUGGGCCCGCGGCCUAUCAGCUUGUUGGUGGGGUGANGGCCUACCAAGGCGACGACGGGUAGCCGGCCUGAGA